CCUACGGGAGGCAGCAGUGAGGAAUAUUGGUCAAUGGACGCAAGUCUGAACCAGCCAUGCCGCGUGCAGGAAGACGGCUCUAUGAGUUGUAAACUGCUUUUGUACGAGGGUAAACGCAGAUACGUGUAUCUGUCUGAAAGUAUCGUACGAAUAAGGAUCGGCUAACUCCGUGCCAGCAGCCGCGGUAAUACGGAGGAUUCAAGCGUUAUCCGGAUUUAUUGGGUUUAACGGGUGCGUAGGCGGUCGGAUAAGUUAGAGGUGAAAUCCCGAGGCUCAACUUCGGAAUUGCCUCUGAUACUGUUUGGCUAGAGAGUAGUUGCGGUAGGCGGAAUGUAUGGUGGAGCGGUGAAAUGCUUAGAGAUCAUACAGAACACCGAUUGCGAAGGCAGCUUACCAAGCUACUUCUGACGUUGAGGCACGAAAGCGUGGGGAGCAAACAGGAUUAGAUACCCGGGUAGUC
rnacentral:rRNA from 1 species